GUGGUGUUUGAGAAGCCCCUCCCAGGUCAGUGUGGACUGAGAGAGGGAGAAGAAUCAAAACGCAGAGCAGCUGGGCCUCUUUGACUCUUGUUCGAUGAAAUUCUUGGAGCAGUCAGGAAGUCUGGAGAGAGGAAAAGUGCAUCGGCACCUUCUACGCUUCCUCCCUUCCUCCAGGAGGACGCACAGCAGAGAAGCCUGUGGAAAUGUGGUCUCGUGGGAGGAAGCCUGGAAUGGGAUGCCCUGGCACAUGAGGGGGUGGCAAAGCAAUGGGCUGAGAAGUGUAGGAGAAGCAGCUGCAAGAGGGCAAUGAGAGGCGAAACACAGUGGAAAUAAGAAGCGCUAGAUGGGAAUCUGGACACUGGCUGACUCUGUUGACCAUUGUACUGUCAUUCAUUGUCUGUCAACAAACCUUUGACUGGAUGUUGCUGGCGCAGAACGUUUCUUUUUCAUAGAUAUAAUAUUGUGCUUUUAUUUUUACUUAAAAAUACGAAUAAAUGUGAAGUUGUUAUUCAUUUCCAACUCCCAUUCCCCCAUCCCCUGCCACAUAGGAGGACUUCUGCUGCCCACCUUUGGCCCCAGCCUUUUUAUCUGGGGGCAGUGAGGACAGCAUCCCCAUGCCUCGUCCACCUGGCCUCACCUGAGCCUGCAGGACUGUCUCUUGCUCCUUCAGCACUUUCGCCUGAAGUUUCCACUCUGCCGCCUGGUUCAGCAACUAUGAGAAGAGAGAGUGUGUGUGUAAAGAUGGUCAGAUUUGCCUUUUAGAUUACUAUUUGGCUGUAAUUUGUCUACAAAACUUAACAACCUGCUCAUUAACCUCCUUGAAUAAUUUUUUGGAACUUUGAAAAGAAUCUAAGAAAGCUUAAAAAACCAGGCCCAGCAUGGUGGCUCAUGCCUAUAAUCCCAGCACGUUGGGAGGCUGAGCUGGGAGGAUUGCUGGAGGCCAGGAGUUUGAGAACAGCCUGGGCUACAUAGGGAGACCUUGUCACUGAAAAAAAAAAAAUACAAAAAUUAGUCAGGGGUGGUGGUGCAUGCCCGCAGUCCCAGCAACUCGAGAGGCUGAGGCAGGAGGAUCACUUGAGCCCAGGAAUCCCAGGUUGCAAUGAGCUAUGAUGGCACUGCUGCACUCUAGCCUGGGCAACAGAGCGAGACUCCAUUUCUAAAAAAAUAAAGGAAGAAAAAGAAAGCUAAGAAAAUAAUUGGUCUAAAAAAGUUGGAUUCUCAACUAUAAACUAGUGGUUUUAAUAAUAAAAAAAAAAGUCUCCAGCUCAAGUAUGAAUAACAAAAAAUUCAACUUCCCACCACAUUCUGGAACCUUCUCUAGCAAUCCUGGCCAACAAUCAUUCAGCCUCUGCUGGAACCUCUCCAGAACAUCCCCACUUGGUGCACUUUUGUCAGCAACUGUUUCUUUUCCUUUUUUCUUUUUUUUCUUUGAGACGGAGUUUCUCUUUUGUCGCCCAGGCUGGAAUGCAGUGGUGUGACCUCAGCUCCCUGCAACCUCCGCCUCCUGGGUUCAAGCAAUUCUCCUGCCUCAGCCUUCUCAGUAACUGGAAUUACAGAUACCUGCCACCACGCCCAGCUAAUUUUUGUUUUUUAGUAGAGACGGGGUUUUACUAUGUUGGCCAGGCUGGCCUCCAACUCCUGACCUCGUGAUCUGCCCGCCUCGGCCUCCCAAAGUGCUGGGAUCAUGGGCGUGAGCCGCCACGCCCGGCCAACAACUGUUUCUUUAGAGUACACCCAGAAUCAUUCUCCUAGACCACUGUUCUCCACCAUAGCACAUGUGAUACAAUAAGAAAUAUGUAUGUCCUUGGUCUUUGUCCCUGAUUCCUGACACAGAGCUUCUAACAUGCAUCAGAAUCUCCUACGGAACAUAUUAAAAUGCAGAUGCCUCUCAGAUAAUAUGAUUUAGGAAGUAAAGAGUGUGACUGAAUCCUGUGCUUAAAGAAAAUACCCAAAAUGGAUAUCGGUGGCCUAUGGAUUACAUUUUGAGAAAUAUGGGUUAGAAGUUCGAACUAUUGGUCUAAAUCCUGGCCCCUGAGAGCUGAUGGGUUAAAUUGGAAAGGUGAUUUGGGCAUACAAUGACACAUUCAUAUAUAAGCUUGUAAUUUUAACUUAAGAUGAAUGUCUAUCAAUUUUGAGGUAAGGCUGUGGUCUUUGUUUUGGGUAUGGAUCUUCUGAUUAGAGUUCAGAGGGUUUUUUGUUUAGUUUUUAUUAUUAUUUUUAAAAAUCACAUCCACAGUGUGCCAUAUAAGAUUUCUAGGUUGUUAGGCUUGUGUGUGUGUGUGUGUGUGUGUUUAGCAAUAGUGCUAGAACCUAAAAAUACUUAUGAAGCAGCUUGUCUGGAUAAUUCUCUAGAGUUUUCCACUUCCCCCCAGUCUUUUAUAGCUACUCAUAUCUAGUUUGAUGGUUGUUUUUUGCCAUUUGCUUGCAUUUGUUCUUUCAAAGCACUAAGCAUAAUUUGCACAAACAGUUUUUUGUUUUCAUACUUAUAUUUCAUCAGUUUAUGUAACAUCCUGUUGAUUUACACAAAAGCAAGUGCAAUUGGAAAGAAAAGGUUUGUGCAAAGAGCUGAUUCUUGGUAAGCUCCACCUUAUUAAACUGGGGCAAAUUUUGUAGCCCUUCCAGAGAGUGGCUUGGUAGACCUGCAAGUCAGCAUGCUGUGGGCUUCGGUCAGUGCGUUUUACAGAGAGAAUAGUGAACACAGAGAUCAAUCUGGCUAGUCAGUCUGGAGGCUAUCAAUUAAGAAGUUUCUCCUGUAUUUGAAGAUAAGCUGAUUAAAAUUUCCUACUUUUAGUUUAUCCCUAUUGUAAAAAAAGUCCAUGAGGUCUAUGUAUUACUUAUAUAAUCAGAACCAAAAAAACUAACAAUAAAAUCAUUAUUUUUAAAAACUGGAGAGCUUCUUUCUCCUCAUCUAAGUUUGUCUUUUUCCCAUGACCCAACCUCUCCAUUUGUAAAAUGGGUUGCAUUUGUUCCUCUAUGCCUCCCAGGGUGCAAUGACGAUUGAUUCUCAUAGAAGUGCAACCAACUGGUCCUAUGAGAGGACUGGGGCAGCUGUGGAAUAGAAGCCCUACAGUGUCCCCUCUGGCCAUCUGAGGGGAGUGGUGGCACUGUGCCUGCUUAUUGUGAGCUGGCUAUGCAGCUUUGUUGUGAUGGGUGACCCCCAACCUCGAGGGAGGCUGGUGGCUGCCUAUUCUGCCUGGAUGACUUGAUAUCUCAUCGCUUCCAAAAUGAGGUGCCCGAGCUGCAACCCAGGUAGGUGGCUAGCUUGGAAGAACUGAGAUGAGCUCCCUCUCUUUGACUCAAAUCUGUUUUGCUGAACCAAAACAGGUGCUAGUUUCUUGCUAAGGCUGGGUCGUCUCAAACCUGCUCUCCAAUGUCUCUCAUGUGCAUCUUUGUCUAGUUCUUUCUCUUUCAUGUCUCGUGUUAUAUAGCAAAGUACCGAUAUCCUGUGGGAAGCAUAUUUUACCCAAGAGGGUAAUUACACCAAUGGUGGAAUUUCUAUUCUCUUGGAUUGUGAAUAAUAAUUGAACGUUUUAUUCUUUGCUUUCAGAGCUAGAUU